rnacentral:rRNA from 1 species
AGCGCGGGGCAACCUGGCGGCGAGUGGCGAACGGGUGAGUAAUAUAUCGGAACGUACCCAAGAGUGGGGGAUAACGUAGCGAAAGUUACGCUAAUACCGCAUACGAUCUAAGGAUGAAAGCAGGGGAUCUUCGGACCUUGUGCUCCUGGAGCGGCCGAUAUCUGAUUAGCUAGUUGGUGAGGUAAAGGCUCACCAAGGCGACGAUCAGUAGCUGGUCUGAGAGGACGACCAGCCACACUGGAACUGAGACACGGUCCAGACUCCUACGGGAGGCAGCAGUGGGGAAUUUUGGACAAUGGGCGAAAGCCUGAUCCAGCAAUGCCGCGUGAGUGAAGAAGGCCUUCGGGUUGUAAAGCUCUUUUGUCAGGGAAGAAACGGUGAAGGCUAAUAUCCUUUGCUAAUGACGGUACCUGAAGAAUAAGCACCGGCUAACUACGUGCCAGCAGCCGCGGUAAUACGUAGGGUGCAAGCGUUAAUCGGAAUUACUGGGCGUAAAGCGUGCGCAGGCGGUUUUGUAAGUCUGUCGUGAAAUCCCCGGGCUCAACCUGGGAAUUGCGAUGGAGACUGCAAGGCUAGAAUCUGGCAGAGGGGGGUAGAAUUCCACGUGUAGCAGUGAAA